rnacentral:piRNA from 1 species
UAAAUUACCAACCCAAAAGACGCCCAAGAG